CUCAUAUUGUGUAAAUAACACACACGUAUCGACACAUCCGCCGGGGUGCCUAAGAUGAGAACAUCAUUCCUGGGUCGGCGUUAUGGGAUACGUGGAGGCAUAAC
rnacentral:sRNA from 1 species